rnacentral:sRNA from 1 species
AUACAAAAUAAUCUCAAAAUGCCUAGUAGAACGACUAAAACGGCAUCUCGAUGCGAUUGUGUCUGAUCCUCAAGCCGCCUUCAUACCGGGAAGAUUGGUCAAUGAUAA